GAUCAGUGGCGAACGGGUGAGUAACACGUGAGGAACCUGCCCCAGACUCUGGAAUAACCCCGGGAAACCGGAGCUAAUACCGGAUAUGACAUCAGACCGCAUGGUCAUGGUGUGGAAAGUUUUCGGUCUGGGAUGGCCUCGCGGCCUAUCAGCUUGUUGGUGAGGUAGUGGCUCACCAAGGCGACGACGGGUAGCCGGCCUGAGAGGGCGACCGGCCACACUGGGACUGAGACACGGCCCAG
rnacentral:rRNA from 1 species